AUAUAUCCGUAAAUAUAUUUGCCAUUGAGAAUAAAUUCUUAGACAGUCAACGGCAAAUUACAUAAUAAACCCUGAACAUGCUUUUUUAUUCAUAUAAAUAUGUGAUUUGUUUUCUUAAUUUUAUAGAAAAAUUUAUAUUUAUACUAGUAUAAAAAGUAUUAACUAAGUAAGCCCGAUGAUUCACCAUAGUCAAAGUGUUUUUCUUGUAGCACUAAAAGUACACACAGGCACGCUUAUUUUUUUUUUGUUUUUUGCUACUUUGUCAUCUCAAUUUUUUCUGUACCGUGUUAGUAGGUGGAUUUAAUUAAUGGGAUUUUCAUGACUUACAUAAGAAUUUUUUGUGCAUCCCAUAUGGUUGUAUACGGCAGGACGUAAUGUUUGGUGGGACAGA
rnacentral:misc_RNA from 1 species